AUUCGACCUGAGCUCAGGCAAGAGCACCCGCUGAACUUAA
rnacentral:rRNA from 1 species